rnacentral:rRNA from 1 species
UACGUAGGAGACGAGCGUUGUCCGGAGUUACUGGGCGUAAAGGGUGCGCAGGUGGCGGCGCGCGUGGGGGGUGAAAUCGCCCGGCUUAACUGGGCGGGGGCCUUCCAGACGGCGUGGCUUGAGCAGCGGAGGGGGACGUGGAAUUCCGGGUGGAGCGGUGAAAUGCGUAGAGAUCCGGAGGAACACCGACGGCGUAAGCAGCGCCCUAAACGAGUACUGACGCUCAGGCACGAAAAGCUGGGGGAGCAAACAGG